GGAUGUGAGGGCGAUCUGGCUGUGACAGCUGUCACCCCAUGGAUCACCAGGGUUGAUUCGGAUGAUCUGGCUGGCUAGGCGGGUGUCCCCUUCCUCCCUCACCGCUCCAUGUGUGUCCCUCCGGAAGCUGUGUGCUCGGUUGAAGCUUCCCCAAAUAGAGAUGGAUUGGUCUUCAGUCGAGGGUAUACGAGUAGUUGCACUCUCCUGCUAGAACCUUUAAACAAGCUCUCUCAAUUAAACAUUAAAAUUUAAAAAUGUGAAGUGACAGUGAGAAAUCUAUAGUUUUUCACUGAGUUAUUUUAAAUCUGUAAAACUAUAUAUGA
rnacentral:snRNA from 1 species